UGUCAAGGGAUGGGAAUUGAGCCCACGACCUUCCGCUUACCGGGCAGAUGCCAUGACCACUAGGCUACCCUGUAC
rnacentral:tRNA from 1 species